UUUUUUUUUGUUUUGUGAAAUGUAAGAUAGGGAAAUAGGGGUGUUGGGUAUUUGGGUUAUGGACUGGGUCGACCCGGGUUGGAAUGGACCGGAUCGUAGGGGAAGGUUGGGUAGAGGUGUUUUGGGCCUGGGUUUAAAAUUGAAGAAGAGGCCAAAUUCCGAUUUUCUUUAUAUUUUUGCUCUCUUUUCUUUUACUUCCUAAGUAAUAAAACUAAAAUUCUAAAUUAACUUAUAAACUAAAUUAACUUAUCAAACAAUUAUCGCACAUUUAAAUAGCAAUUAACGAUAAAAUCGCAUAAUUUAGACGUUAAAUGCUAAAAAUGCAACGUACAUUAUUUUUUUAUGAUUUUCUCAUUUUGUAAAACAAACUUAAAUAAAUACUAAAUGAAAAUGCAACAUAUUUUUGUAUUUUUUAUUAAUUUAAUCAAUAAGCAUGCAUAAACAAAAAAAAUACAAAUAAUUAUACAAAAAUGCCACGAAAAACACAAAAAUUGCACAUAAAGGAAAAUUGUUUUUAUUUUGAAUUUUUUGGGAGUAAUUCUCAUAUAGGGCAAAAAUCACGUGCUCACACUCCCCUUGGUUUUUGCAGCUACCGCUUGGUAUCCUAAAGCGGUUCAAGAUCAACCGGGAUGGAUCGGGCGGUUGGAUACCUCAUUCCCAUAUCUCGUCCGGUCUUGGCCCGACUUGGGUAAGACGCAGUGGGUGACCAAGAAUCAUGGUAAAGUUCUUCGUGACACCUAUAUCUUAAUCUUAUGUUUCUUCCCCAUAUCCUUUAUGCUGAUAAAUUUCAGCCACUGUGUUUGUUCAGGACUUGACGAUGGUGUACAGAUGAGAUCGCCUCUUGAUGGCGAGGAGGGGACUUCGGAGCCCGCUACAGGCAAGAAAAGGAAGGAUAAGGCGGAUGUUGAUUCUGCUGCGACCAAGAGACCUAAAUUACACAGGCCCCGAGCUGGUACCUGGACCCCGACUUCAGCUUCCAAAGUAGGUCCGGCACCGAAGAGGAAGAUGAUGAUGAUGAUGAGGGAGGUGAGUACCGUCUGUUGCAGAGGCCGAGGUCGAGCGUAGGAGUACAACAAGUGCCUCUAUCGGAGGCCGCUGAAUUGGGAUCUGCCGAUUCAGAUCGGUUCCGUGCGAUAAAGACCCUCAAUGAGGGUGUGGAUGUGGUCCCCGAUCCUAGGAUCGAAUGCGGCACAACCCCCACUGGGGAGGCCGUUGUUGCUGGUCCCAAAGAGCCGGGUCCCAGAGCUUUUGGAGGGCAGGAGUUGCCCCUUAAAGACAUCGAUUCCCUAGAUGGUCUGAAUUUGGGUCCUCAAUUCUCUUCUGGGGAGUUAAGGGAUGCUCGGGGACCCAAAUGUUGCCAACGUGGGGAGUCCUCUCAAGGGAGGAGGUGUAUUCGGCAACUUCCUUGAUGAUGUUGAGGAUGUCAGUGGGGGCAUCGGUCUCGAUGCUCCCAGUGUUGUUUAGGUAGUGGAAAAAUUCCAGCUGCAGGUGAUGGUUGUUCGUGCAUACCUGUUUAGUCUUAAGCAUUUUUCUUCAUUCUUCUAACUCUUUUGUUUUGCCGUAGUCUAAGGAGAUGUAUGAUUACGCCCUCUCUAGGCUCUGAGAGGAGCUUGUAUGUCGUGGAAAGGAGAUUGAGAGGCUCACCUCUGGACUGCGGGAAUCGAAGGCCUCAUCUGCUCGAAAGGUGAAGGAGCUAAGCGAACUUUGGCGAGUUUUGAGGGAGUGCUCAGAGAAAGGGCUGGCCUUGUUGAUCAGGUAACUCGUUAUUCGUAAUCUGUUCAUCGUUCCAAUAAUUCAAUGUUUGCUGACUUAUCCUUUCUUUUGUAGAUCGGACAGAGAAAUGAGGAGAUCCUCGAGCUGAGGAAACGAAACGAGGCAGUGACCUCGGAGUUGGCAUCGACCCAGGGUCUUCUUCAAACUGCUCGGAAAGAGAUUGUCGGGCUAUCUGCGGCCAAGUCCGAGGUCGAAGAAAAGGUUUUCACUUAUCUGAUAGAUGCUUCCACCGCGAAUCAGAUAACCCGAAGCAUAUCGGUAGAGGCCGGGAAAAAAAUGAUUUGGGUCAUUGCUCAUGCCAGUGCAAAGGCGAGGAGGCAAGCCUUGGAGGAAGCUAGUUCCAAAGGCGUCGAUCUCCCAGCUGAGAUCGAGGAGGCUAGAGAAUUAGAGGAGGAUUGGGAGCUCUUAGUCGCUUUGGAUGAAGUUUCAGGAGAUGGUUCGGAGGGUAGCAGCGAUGAUGAGUAGGCCUGAGUUAUCUUUGCUUUUCUUCUUUCUUUUUGUGUAUGUACUUCUAGGGAAUCAAGUCUUGUAAAGAAGCUCCAUGUAAAUAUAUUUUUUGGCAAUGCAAAAGAAUCUCUCUGCUUCAAGUCUUUCCAUUUUUUUAUACUCCAUCGUUCUUGUGGUUAGCCUUUGAAUUUUAAUGUCGGCUCUUUGAAGCCUAUACUUGGAGAAAUCGGGGCCCCCGAGAUCGGGUUCUAUCCCGAGACUAGGUCGAUAGCUCCUUUGGGGCCGAUGCUUAGGAUAGUGGAAAAAUCUUGAGGUCUCGAUACCUCCCGAUCUUUGUGUGAUAGCAACGUCUACACAACCUGAAAAUGGGACCCCCGAGGUGGUCCUGCCAGUACAUUUCCCCAAAAAGGUGACAUUGUCGUGGCUAGAAUUAAUUGGCAUUCUAGGUAGGUAAGAGGUCGAUGCAUGCCUUCAUAUAUUCACUUGCUUACUUCUCAAAUGGAGAUUCUGCUACUCUGAGUAACUAUUUCUUCCACAUGACUUCAUUCUUUAUGCUAGCUCUUCCGUCGUUUCGGCUCAAAGCCUUUGCCCAAAUCUUCACCCUGCUCUUCUUUAUUUGCCGUAGCUAUGGAUGUUACAUUGACCUAUACCGACCAAGAGGAGAAGAGUUCUGCUUCCGUUUGGUCUCCGGUCGGUGAUGCACUACUGGUACCCGGUGAGCAAGCCUCAAAGUGCUUUGUCUCGAGGAGAGACUUUAUGUUGGAGAGACCUCCCAACGUUCAAGGGCAUCGAGAGAAUGCACAGAGGCUCAUCUCCUCAAUAAGGGAGGUACAUCUCGAGAUGAUGAGAAAAGAUUGUAGAUGGUGGGAAGGAGUGGUAUUGCAGGUACCUUUCCCGGAAGAGAGUAUCAUGAGCCACGUCGAGGGGGUUUUGAGCGUGUAUACGCACCUUUUUACAUCGGAUCCCCCUGAUAGGGUCGUGCUUGAAUUCUGUAGGAGAUAUCAUGUUACCUUCAUGUAGGCUCACCCAUCCUUUUAGAAAUAGCGUUGGCGAUAAGGUACUUUGCGGAUAAGGUUGGGCUCAAAUUCACUCUCAGCCAUCUCGUUAGGUUAUAUCGGUUGUUGCAUUACUGGGGUUUGAUUACUCUGUGGUGCCGAUACACUCAGUCCCCUUCCAUUAAUGAUGAAGAGGACGAGGACCGAGGGUGGAUGAGCCGGUUCAUUCUAGCACGAACAGUCAUAUUAUCCCCAGAGAGUUAUUGCCAUUUCCUGAGAAAUAGAAUUUCACACGUUAGUGGCAUACUUGUAUUUCUAUCUCUUUAUCCAUAGCAGAGGCGGGUUCUAUAAAGGCAUCUUUCUAUUUCAUUUUUUGUAGCGAUUCCUUGGUUGCCGAACGAGGUCCCUGAUCUGGCUGAAUGGUCCCGCAAACUGGCAGCUUGUUCGACCUAUGAUAAGCGCAAGUGGCGAGACCUGUCCAAGGGGAGAUGGGAGGCAAAGCAUCAUGAUAAGCGUUUAGUGGCUUAUUUCCUCGAAAAGAUUCUUUUCUUUUCAGCGCACUAACUCUAUCAUCGCAGGUGUCGGAGAUUUAUCCGAGAUGAGGCCAUGCCCCAUGGAGGAGGCGGAAAGACUGCUGACUUCGGGCCAAGGGUCGAUAAUAAGCAGAAAGAGUCUCUGAGGUGUGAGGAUGCUUGUGGCGGGGCGAGUCCUUCUUUGAGGUUCAAAAGCGGUGAUUCGGUCGAUCCUCCAGCUUCGGGGGCUUCUAUUUUCCAAAUAACAUUUCUUGUUCCCGUCAAAGGUACAUUGUGGAACAAGGGUCAUGCGACGCCUUCCUUUUUUUCUACCAAAGGUGCUUCGGGGGAUACUAUGCAUCAGACAUUAGCUCGGCCUUUGGUGAGGCUCAGCGGCUGGGCUUUAUGGUAAGCUAUGGUAGUCGGCAUAUGCUUGUCUUAGUUUCAUGCCCUUUCUUUCUUACUGAAUUUUCCUUUGCAGGUCUUCGACAAGCUUAAAUCUAAUAUACUUCGCCAUGAGGCUAGGCUGCAGAAAGCUUUGGAUAGGGAGAAAUACCUUAGGCUCAUUUGUACGAGAAAGGAAAAGGAGCUGGUAUACCUACAGUGUGAGGCGGAUCGAAGUCGGGACUGCAAAGUCCACUCAAUUGCAGUCUUGCACUCAGUAAGUACCUGCAAAAGUUGUUCUUCCUGCACAUCUAACAAACUAGCUGAGAUAAUAACAUGUAAAGUAGAGUUAGGUCCUAAGAAUGCAUACCUGAGAUGAGAUGGCAGUGGUUUAAGCUCCAACUUUAGUGGCUCUUCUAUUGAUGGCUAGCUGGAGGAGUUUUUCUUUCCUCUAAGUGCAAUGGCUCAAAUUCGAGCUCCCUUCUCCAAAAACCUUGGCCUUCAAGAGCAAGCACCCACUCUGCCAAGUCUUCACCAUUAGCUUCAUCUGAGUUCAUGAGACAAGCUUCUAGAGGGUCUUUAAUGUUCCAUGCAUCAUCUUCCUCCUCCAAAACUACAUCCACCGCAUCUAUUAGAGAGCACUCAGCAAAUUCACUUGGUCUCCGCAUAGAUUUCUGCACGUUGAAUGUUAUCUCUUCAUCGUUUAAUCUAAUCUUGAGCUCUCCAGUUUCACAAUCAAUUAAGGCUUGCCCAGUGGCCAAGAUGGUCUUCCCAAAAUUAUGGGAAUUUCCUUGUCAACCGGAUAGUCAAGGAUGACAAAAUCUGCUGGGAACAGAAACUUCCGAACCUGUACCAAUAUAUCAUCUAGAAUCCCAGAGGGCCUCUUCACUGUUUUGUUAGCCAGCUGUAGUAACAUAGACGUAGGUCUACCUCUUCCAAUACCUAGCCUUUUAUAGAUAGCCAGGUGCAUAAGGUUUAUGUUUGCUCCCAGAUCACAUAGUGCCUUAGCAAAUGCAAAAUUGCAUAUUAUGUAGGGGAUUGUGAAACUCCCUGGGUCAUACAGAUUCUCAGCUAUGGGUCCCGUUACAACAUCACUACAGGUCUGAGUCAGUGUAACCAUGGCCAGGUCUUGAAAGUCGAACUUGCGGGACAUCAAGUCCUUCAUCAUCUUCGCAUAACCAGGCAUAUCCUUUAAAGCAUCAAUCAAUGGAAUGUUUACCUGAAUUUGCUUCAACAUCUCCAAGAAUUUCUUGUACUACUCAUCCUUCUGAUACUUGGUCAAUAUCUGGUGGAAUGGUGUUGGAGGUUGUUUCUUUCCUAUGAUUUGAUUUUUCUCUUGUUCAUGCACUGCUUCUAUUGUCGGUUCCGGUGCAACCUCAAUCUCUUUCACAACCUCUUCUUAUUUGUUGUUGUUCUCUUGCGCAUAUUGUACCGUCACCUUAGUUAACCCUGCUGAAUCAUCUAGCUUAAUAGGUAUUGGCACCAGUGUCUCCGUCGGCCUGCUUUCACGAGCAAUUUCUUGCUCCAAAUCUAAGUCUCUACUAUUUCAGAGACUCACUGCCAUCAACUGCUUCAGGCCCUACUCUUUUGGAUUGAUCUGGGUAUCUGCAGGUAAUGUCCCAUGAGGACGAUUAUUUAGGGCCAUGGAAAUCUGUCUCAAUUGGAUCUCAAUGUUCUUUAUCGCUGAUUCAUGUGAGUCUACUCUGUUAGUUAGUUUUCCAGUGGACCCAAUCACUUGUUGCAUCAAUACCUCAAGUUUAGCAAACCCAUCUUCGUGUCUCAAAAUCUGUUGUUGUUGAGGUUGUUGAUAAGCCUACUACUGAUUUUGCUGGAUGUAACCCGGUUGCCUUUGGUAAGGCACCAUUUGACCUUGUGGUCACAUAGCCCCAUGGUUAUUGUUGUUGUACUGCUACUGAGCUGGUCUCUAUUGUUGAUUUUGUUGACCCCAAUUUUGACCACCUGGUCUUUGUCCCCCAUAGUUGGCCACAUAAUUCAUGUUCUCCUAAUAUUGUUGGUUAUCUCCUUACGCAUUUCACGAGAAUACAUAUGGUUGAUUAAUGCAUGAUAUACAUAAUCCCCCAUAAGUUGCAUCAACUAUGUGUACAUGUUGUUUCUGGCCUGAUUCCUCAACCUUUUUGGUGAGUAUGCUCAUUUGCGUCAGUAGAGUGGCCCUGUUUUCCGUUAUGGAAUUAGACGGGUCCAAAGCCAUUGAGUGAACCACAGGAGUGAUUGGAGCAUUUCUUGUCAUCCACUCUGAGUUUUGUGCCAUCUUGUCAAGUAAGAUCUUGCUCUCUCUAAAUGUUUUGCUCAAAAAUGCUCCACUUGCUGAAGCAUCAACAUUGGCUUUCAAACUAUCUGCCAAACCCAUGUAAAAUCUCUGCCCCAACAUCUGCUCUAGAAUACCAUGAUGUGGACACGUAACUAACAGACCCUUGAAUAUCUCCCAUGUUUCGUAUAACGUCUCUGUUGGUUUAUGUCUGAAGCUCAAUAUCUCAUCAAUUUGCUGAGCAGUUUUGUCGGGUAGGUGAAAUUUGUUCACAAAUUGCUUGACUAAUUCCUCCCAAGUAGUGAUGGAGUUUAUGGAGAGUGAAUUAAGCCAAGUCUGAGUUGCUCCUGUCACUGAGAAUGGAAACAACAACAGACGUAUUGCUUCCGGUGUCAUGUUGUGUUGCCUCUACGUGGCGUAGAUUGACAGGAAAUUCUUUAGAUGCUGCUGAGGAUCUUUAACUUAUGACCCAGAAAAUAGUCCCUUGUUCUGCAACAAAUGUAGCAUGUUAUUUGUGAUCUGGAACGAAACUGCUUGUAUGUGAGAGACUACAAUGGCAGUUGCUAAGUUGUCAGCGGUGGGUUGUGCCCAAUCAUAGAGUGUUAUUUCCGGCACAAGAGGUCUCACACCCUGAUCAUUUGGGUCAUUCACGUUGUCUCUGUUGUUUUUAAUAUCGUCUUUCAUGUCUGGUUAAAUUCGUUCGGUUGAGUUUUUGUUAUUGUUUGCCUUUCCUGUUUGCACAAUUCAAUGCCUUGAAAACUUUCUCAAGAUCUCACAAUACUUCAAACAAUUCACCAGUUCUAGAGGAGUUUCUAGGCAUGCGCAUGUAACAAGCACGACUACAAACGUUAGAAUUUCAAUGAUCAGUUUAAAUUGAAGAAAAUUGACUACACUAAGAAUUUUUGCACUUCUUUUUAAAUGCAAUCAAUAACACCGCUAACUCCCCGGCAACGGCGCCAAAAUUUGAUCACGCCCAACUAUGCCUUAUCAAAAGACAAAGCGGUCACUGAAAUAUAUUCCGGUUAACAAGUUCGGAGUCGAAUCCCACAAGGAAUUAACCUAUCAACCACAGCUAUUGGACUCACACAAAAUACACGUAGUCAACUUCCAGAGAUAUUUAAAUAAUAGAUUGGAUAUUUACUAACUAAUGUUAAGUAAUAAAAAUGCACAAAUUAAAAGCUAACUAUGAAUGGGUUGUAAACAAGAAUGAGAUGAUCUAAGGUUCUGAUUUCCCCUCUUGUCGGAAUCCUUUCAGCUAUGUUUGCUAUAAAUUUGCCUAAGUCUUCUCUAUCGAUCAUGACUACUUUGACUGUCGUAACUCUCUCCCAAGUAAUUACAACAAAUACUAGACAUAUUCUCCCAAAUUACGCUAGCUAGCCUUAAUUACAUCUCACUUAGAUUGCACCCAAGGUUUCGUUAUCUCUAAUCUCACAUUUAAACCCUUUGUAUUGAUCCCUCAUAUAUGUUAGGAGUGAUGUUGUUCAACAACUACCUAAAUAUGCAUUCUCUAUCGAGUAAUACACACUAAAUAGACACAGUCGAUUGAGGUCCCUUCAAUGAACAGCAAUCACAAUAUAGUUGAACAAAUAGAGAAAUUACUAUGGCAAAUCUAUAUUAACAUAACAAGAAAUUCAUCUUCCAAGAGGUUCGAUCAAAACCCUAGAUUAUAAGUUUAUCUAUGCAUAGUCAUUUUCACAAUCAUAGUAAUAGAAUUCAUCAUCAAUGAUAAAAACAAGAGGAAGAAAGGUAAAAACUCUAUACCAAAUCUUCUACCUUGCUUCUUGCUUGUUGUUGCCUUGAAAAACCCUUCAAAAACCUUGAUACCUUAUUUUUGGGCGAGAUGGGCUUCUUAUAGGUCAAGGAGAGUCGCCCCUGAACUUACAAAUUUACCCCUAAAAUAAAAUUCCUAGGAGGUACGAACGCGGCCGCGGUUGGACCGCACAUAAUGCCUUCUUUUCUGCCUGUUGAGCGCGGUCGUGGUUGGUCCGCGCUCCUGGAGCUUCGUUUUGCCUUCCAUUUUUUCUUCUUCUUUUGCGUGCUCUCACCUCCGAUUGGUCUUCCUAGCUCCAAAUUAACUCCAAUACACUCUUUAAUGUCCUCAUAGCUCCUGCAAAGCAUAAGAUUCAUAAUUAGAGCCAUUUGUUGUCAUUUAACAUUCAUAAUACAAUAAAGUAUAGCUAAGUUGGAGUGUAAAAGGUAGCUAAACUAUAUAAUGCUAGCCUACUAUCAGUUAUCUAUAUACUAUCAAUAAUACCGAAAUGGUUACCACCCAGAAACUGGUGUCACAAUCCACGAGCAUUCUAUGAAUUACUACAAAUACUGGUCUGAAAGAAAUUAUAUCUAUUUGAAACGAAAGAGAUAAAUAGGAAUGUAGAACAAUGAGGGGACGCCAGGUCCUGCGGACGCCAACAGGUCUACCUUGGGUCUCCUAGAUAAAUUUCCUGCAACCGAACUCUCAAUCACCCAUAACUAACUCCAAAAUCUACACAGAAAGUGUAGAGUGUAGUAUCAAUACAACUGACCCCAUGUAUCGGUAAGUGCCGAGCCUAACUUCAAUGAGGUCGUGACGAGGCUAAGGCAGGGAAAUAACAAUAUAACCUGCAAACAGUAUGUAAUAAAGCAGGAAUAAGUGAAAAAUAAAAUAAAACAGUAACUUGCAAGGAAUACAUACGGAACUCAUGUAUCUUAUCGGUGUCCAUCUAUAAUCAAUCCUCAAAUAAAAUAAAAAAACUCCGGAAAUAUCUUACACAGUUGAAUAAAAGCACAUAAACACAUAAAUGAUGUGGUGUGCAUCCCGAUCCCACCAUAUAUCAAUAAUAGUAUAUAUAUUCACCCUUAUUACUCCUUAUUAAUCCACCUGUAUUCCUCUUGUUGCAUCGUGCAACCCGAUCCCACCAGACAAUAAUAAAUCACUCUUAUUACUCCUCAAUAUAUCACUUUUAUUCCUCAUGUUGCAGCGUGUAACCCGAUCCCACCAGACAAUAUCAUUUCCCCCUUAUUCCUCCUCAAUAUAUUACCUUUAUUCCUCAUGCUACGACGCGCAACCUGAUCCCACCAUAUUAGUAUCAAUAACACAAAAAGAAUAAAAAGUGCACAGUUUAGCUCAAAACCCUCCACAAUAUUUAAGCCUCAGACCAAAGCAAAUAAAAGGCUAUACAAUUAUGAAACUUCCCCCAAUUAAUUCUACACAAUGAGACCAACCAAAGUAUAGUAUGAAACACCGAUAAACCACCCUGAACCAAUAAUGUAAAGUAGUAAAACUACGAAAUGAUUAAUACCUUCAAUAAAGAAAACAACACCUAACAAGAAAAAUUAGACAUGGAAGAACCAAUAAGUAUGUAGCAGUUAAGACAGGAAGACAAUAUAAUAGAAACGGGAAAGGGAACAGGCUAAACAGACAAUUUGGCUAUGCAUAGGUACUUGCCACCAUGCCUAUACGCCACGCACAUGAAAUUCCAAAUAGCAAUUAAGUCGGGGAUUCCAAAUCCCUCAAGUCAAAGUUAGACACAACACUUACCUCGAUCCUCAAGCCACUCACUGCUCAAUUACCGUUUUUCCUCUAGAUUCCACCUCCAAACCACUCGUAUCUAGCCACAAUUAACUUAAUAACAUCAGAUAUUGCUAAAGAAAUCAAUUCCAAUAAAUAAAUUUAGGUUUCCCAACAUUUUCCACAAAAAGUCAAAAAUUGACCCCGGGACUGCUUGGUCAAAACUCGAGGUUCGAACCAAAACUCCUUCACCCAUUCGCCCCGAGCCCGAAUAUGUAAUUAGUUUCAAAAUUCGACCCCAAAUCGAGGUCUAAAUCCCCAAAUUGCAAAAAAAAUCCAAUUCUCCCAAAAUCUCUAUUUUCUGCCAUGAAAGAACAAGAUUUAGGGCUAGAAAUCUAAUGGGUAUUGAUGGAAAUUAAAGAAAAUGAGUUAAAGAACACAACCUAUAAUUUGGUGAUGAAAUCCAUCUUCAAAAAUCGCCAUAGGUCGAGUUCUAGUGAAGAAGACGUGAAAUUUUGAAGAAAUCCCGUCUUUAAUUCUGUUUUAAAAACACUGGACAGGCCUCAUUCGCGUUUGCGAGAGGCCUGUCGUGUUCGCGAAGCUAUAGCCCUAUUGGCCUACGCGUUCGCGAGUAACCCAUCAUUCGCGAAGGCAUAUCCCCCCAGCCUUCACGUUCGCGAGCCAAGUGUCGUGUUCGCGAUCAGUUAUUUCCCCUCCCCCAGGUUCCAUGCUUCGCGUCCACGGUAGACAGGUCGUGUUCGCAAAUGGUGAAGCCCUUGCUGCUCCGCGUUCGCGAAGAAAAAUUUCCUCCUUCCCCAUUUUUACCUUCCACUUUCAUGAUAUUACCUACGCGAACGCUAAGAAGGGCAUAUCAGAACAACUGCUGCAACAAAAUACCAGAUUUUUCUAAGUCAAAAACAUCUCGUAGCCUAUCCGAAACUUUCCUAAGCCCUCGGGGCUCCACAAGUCUUAAAACAUCAUACAAACUUUCUCGUGCGAUCAAAUCGCCAAAAUAACACCUAGAAUUACCAAUUUAGCACCAAAUUACAUUAAAUUUUCAAGAAAAUUCAAAAGUUCUAUUUUGUCAUCCAAAGGUCUAAAUCACGUCAAAUCAGUCUCAUUUCUCACCAAAUUUCACAUAUAGGGUGUAAAUAUUAUAACAGAAUUGUACCGAGUUUCGAAACCACAAUACGAACCCGAUAUCAACAAGAUCAAUUAUUAACCAAAUUCUUAAAACCUUUAUAAUUUUAGUUUUACAAUUUUCAUCAAAAAUUCAUUUCUCGGGCUAUGGACCUCGGAAUUUGAUUCCAGGAAUACGCCUAGGUCCCAUAUUUUAUUACGGACCCACCGGAACCGUCAAAAUAUAGGUACGGGACCGUUUACCUAAAACGUUGACCGAAGUCAACUAAAAUAAACUUUUAGGCCAAAAAUUAUUAUUUCAUCAAUUUUUCACAUAAGGGCUUUCCGGAAGAAUGCCCAUACUGCGCACACAAAUCGAGGAGGAAUAAAAAUGAGGUUUUCUAGGCCUCGAAACGCAGAAUUAAAUUUUUAAAGCAUAAGAUGACCUUUUGGGUCAUCACGCCAUAGUUCGGUUAGGUCGGUUAUUUUCAAAAAUUUAUACCAAACCGGUUUUUCAAUUACUCUAUUUUGUAUAACGAAAAUUAGAUUUUUUGAAACCAUCCCGAUCAUUUCGAUUUCUCUUCUGUAUCGGUAUCGGUAUUAGUACAGUUAGGUUAAUUUUCGAUAAUUUUCUUGAAAUGUUAUAUAAGAGUUGCUAAUAGAAGUUAGAACAUAAGUACUUACUCAAGACUUCGGUAAAAAAAUUUAGACAUUUUUAUAGUUUAAAACACGCUAAAUCAAGGGAAUAUGAAAGAUAGCCAGAAUAUAUAGAGCUUCAUCUCACUAUUCUACUACAACGUAAAAGAAACUAAAUAAAGACAAAAGAAAUAUAGAUAAGAUGAGUAGGAAUAUGUUGAUCAAGAUUGGAGUCAAAAAUAUAGUCUAUUCGAAAAAUUAAGUGUCCAAUAAGAAAAAUUUAAAUCAUACGAGAGGAAAAAUGUUCAAUACUUAUGGUUUGUCACUCAAGAUCGCUGGAAUACCAAUGGUAUGCUAUUUAAGAUGCUAGCUAGAUCUAAUUUAAUUUCAAUAGGACUAGCAUAAUAUAUUUGAGGGUUGAGCUUUGGAUUUUAAUUAUUUGUUGGCUGUAAAUAUUUUCGUAAUCACAAAGGCCAAUGAAAAAACUAAUUUUUAUUAUUUUUAAAUGUAAUAUAUAAAAAAAUAUUUUUAAUAUAAAAUUAUUCAGUACAAUUCGGUAUUUUUCUUUAUUUGUAAAAAUAAAAAAACCACGCUAGUUAUUGGUACGUUAUAUAUUUGUAUAAAAACCUACGAUUUUAUUAAAAUAAACCUAAUAAUCGGUUCAGUACGGCUCGGUUAGAUCGGUUUAGUCGAUUUUUAAAGAUCCAUUGACGCCCCUAGUUGUUAUGUAUCAUUUCAUAAUGAAUCGUAUAAUAUUACAUUUGCAUGGUAUUGUGCAUAUCGUUUUAAUGUAUACAAUAUUUGGAUAGAUUGUAUUGUUUAUCGUCGGUUCAUGAAGUUACGCACCAACGAUAUGAAGAAUAAACUUGCAAUAUUAUAAAGAAAAAAUAAGGUACAAGGUAAAUUAUUAUAUAAAAACGUAAGAUAAAGGAUAAAAUAGGAAUAUUUAAUAAUAAGGAAGAGCAAGAUGAGAGAAAAAAAGGUGAUGACGCGAUCACACCAAAUCGGUCGUUCCAUAAAGUGACAAUUUUCACUGUUACAUAACAAUAGUUUUAAUGAUACAACACAAUAAAAUUUAAGUAGCAAUCAAAAUAAAUAUUGUAUUUAAAGUAACAAUACGAUACAAUAUAACAUGUAACAACUUUGUCCUCCCUACCAUUUAUGGUUAUGAGCUUGACGCUCCGUUACAACAAUUUUAUUUUGCAGCAAUUUUAGCUUCUCACGAAUUUUAGUGGGAAUUUGCUCGCCUGGGGUGUGUCUCGUUCUUUCAAUGUUAAGAGCCCAAGGCUAUGAAAUUUCACUUUUUCCAAAAAAAAAUAUUAUUUUUCAGAAUUAGUGUUUAGCCAUAAAACUUUCAAUUUUCACUAGUUUUGAAAUUUUUCAAAAAAAUUGAAAAAACUCCAAAAAAAAAAGUUGAUUUUUUCAAAAAAUUUCACUCAAAUCACUCAAAAAAAUUCAAAAACAAUCUAAAAUUAUAUUCAUGUCCAAAUACAACUCUAAUUUUCAAAUACCAUUUUUACUUAAAAAUAUUUUCAUUUUUUUCGAAAUUUUACAACUCUUAUGUCCAAACGCCCCAUUAAAACAUCUUAUCUAAAUACACAUUAGACGAACAUCCGUUCUACCAACAUCUAAAUGCAUACAUUUAACUUUAUUGAAGAUUUAAGAAAAUACAGAAUUCAAAUAAAAUACUAAUUAAUCUUAAUAUUAUAUUCAAAAAACAUUAAAUUAAAAGUUAUUUAUACUUUCUUGUGGACCCCAAAGAAAACUGGAUAAACAAAAUCCUAAUCCUUCAUUAUAUGUAUGUUAUCUUCUGAACUCUCAGAAAAUAACAUGAAUUCUCACUCUGUAGUCUCUACUAUACAUUGUUAAAUAACAAACUAAACAGCUGAAUAUCCGAAAACUACCUUAGCCAGUUCAAUAGACACGUGUAGUCCGGCUCUUCUCCGGACUCCGCUCAUAGCAGAGGCUUAGUGCACCGAGCUGCCUGUUUUACCCUAGCCAGUUUAAGAUACACUACCCCUGUAGUUCUAAAUCAAAAAGACUAUUCUUUCAGUUCAGAUUUUCCAGUUACAACAAAAGAGAGGUACAAACAACAAGUGUUUGCAAAAUCAAAACCUAGUCAUCUCGAACUGCCCGCCGUUACAGGAUGUAACAUAGAGCCAAAGCUGGACCUACGGCGACCAGCUGAACCUGUAUCGUCUCUACUUGGAGAAACUACUUCCAAUUUUCUCCUUUUCUUGUUCACGGAACCUUCACUACGCGAGCCACGCAUAGCAGCCAUUAAUUGUUGACCUCUUGACCCUGGAAUUCGCUUCUUAAUCAGAGAACACGCCUGUUUUCUUUCCAAGUCCUGCUCGUGAUCCUUCUGAGAUUGGUUUUUGAAAGAAACCGGAUCUGCUAAUGCUAGAUGGCCACGAGGAAUGGCGUAAGUGUUUUCUGCAAAUAAAAACCAGUUAUUUAGCACUAUGCUUUUUCCAUUUAGUAAGGCAAUGGCAUGGACUCUCAAAUAAAUAAGGGCCGUUUGGCUCACAUACUAGUUAUGCCGGGACUAUAAAACAAAAUGAAAGAAUUGUUAUAUCAGAUUUACUUAUUUUAAAGGCAUUUUUGGCUUCAAAUAAUCAAAAGCCGGAGUACUAAAUGCUAAUACACAUACUUUUAUUCCACAUUCUUUCUCACAUAAAAUAAUACAUAGAUUCUCGCAUAAUUUAAUGUAAUUUACUUAUCAACACCAAGAAAAUGCUGCAUUAGAUAUGCGGCAAUUACUUUUUCUCAUGCGACCAACCAAAUAUAGCACUAGUUAUAUGUCAAUUAUAUUUUUUCUUAUGCAGCCAAUUAAACAACACAUUAGUUAAUGCCGAUUUUAUGCCAAGAUUAAUUAUGCUAAUACAAUCAACCAAACGACUCCUAAAAGUAGAAGAUGAGUUUACCUGGGGGAUCAUCUCGGUAUAUCUCUGGACUUGGCGAUCUAGACAGUGUCUUGGGAGUAAGAGUUACACUUCUUUUGGUCACACCUAUGUCCCGAGUACAGUUUUCUUCAUGCGUUGAAGGUAAAAACACUUCAUCUACAUGAGAAUACAGAGAUUUCAUCGCACCAGAUAGUCCUGGAGUAGACGUCUGCUCAGUAUACUUUGAUUCACUAUCCUCAAUCUUUUCGAGGUCAGGUUUAGGAGAUGCUUCAUCUGCAGCAUUAUUGGAUUCACUGACAUUGCAAGCAAGAUCAUUUGGCAUGCGCGGAGAAGCUAUGGAGAUAGCAUCCACAUUAUCUAGAACUGACUUGGGAGAAGUAUUAAAUAUGGACGGAUCUAUGAAGGACUUUUUCAUUUCGACAAAAUCUGAAAACCACGGAGUGCCUCUCUUUGCAUAGAACAUAAUAUAUGCCUCCUCUUCCAAAACAAGAUCUUCUUGAACCCGAAAUACCUAUGACAAUCAAAUAAAAAUAUCAAGUUAGUUGUCGUAAAUGCUUCUAUGGAUUAGUCCUACGCUAAAAAUCUAUGCAUUAGUCGUCCCCCAUAAAUAUUCAGAAAUUUUACACAAUCUACGGAUUAGUCCUACACUAAAAAUCUAUGAAUUAGUCGUCCCCAUAAAUAUUCAGAAAUUUUACACAAUCUACGGAUUAGUCCUACGCUAAGCCACAUACAGUAGAGAGCAUUUUUUUCCAGUAUGCUAUUUACCUCUGAUGGACAAGAGGGGUUGCUCUGAUGGUAAGCAACCUCCACUUCCAACAAAGAGGUUGUGAGUUCGAGUCACCCCAAGAGCAAGGUGGGGAGUUUUUGGAGGGAAGGAUGCCGAGGGUCUAUUUGGAAACAGUCUCUCUACCCAUGAUAGGGGUAAGGUCUACGUACACACUACCCUCCCCAGACCCCACUAGUGGGAUUAUACUGGGUUGUUGUUGUAUUUACCUCUGAGUCAUCAAAUUUGUACCAUUCAUCUGGUGCAGAACGAAUGAAGCUGUAAUAAUGCCCUGAACAGGAUGAAAACCCGCUAUGCACUAUAACUGCAUAAAGAUCGUACUUCAUUUCUCCCUGUUGAGAAAAGGGAAAAUUAAAUAACAUCAUGUUUCUUCUCACAUAAGGUAAAGUGAAGGGAAGAAAAUUGGUAAAAAAAGGAAAUGCAUGAAAAGUCCAAAUGCAACGUUUUUCACAUGAAAACUAACUUCAAGUAUAGAUUCACAUAAGCAACAAAUACUCACAUUAUUAAUUUGGUUGUUAUCAGUAUAAGGAAGCAAGUCCAAUUCCAGUGGAAAUGAAACAUGCUUGUCAACCUUCUCAACAAAAGAACCAUCAUUUUCAAAUCUCUUCAAAUGGAAGGCGGCGACAGAAGGGGCUUUAUCGAGCACAAGCUGCUUCUCGAUUGACACUUGUUCCUUACAUUUUUCACAUGAAAACUUUAUCUCUGGAUCAUCAAUUUUCUCAACUUUUGUGAAAGACUCCAAAGCUUCGGGUAAACUGUCAACAUCCUUAAUCUCCAAACUUAGAUCAAUUAGAGGCUCAUAAGUGUCGGAGCAGUGACCACAAUUGCAACAGCGCAGCUGCAGUUUAAGAAAGACAUAUAAACAAUAUUAAUUCCAUAUUUGCAAGCUAAAUACCCAGAGAACACACAUGCAAACAGGGGUGUAGGCACAUGACACCGCUUCGUCGAUAUUUUUUCGUAAUAUGUAUCUAUAAAUUGGCAGCCCGGUGCACUAAGCUCCCGCUAUGCUCGGGGUCCGGGGAACGGCCGGACCAUAAGGGUCUAUUGUAUCUAUAAAUAAUAAAUAAAAAUAAAAUAUUGGAUAUAAAUAUAACAAAUGACACUGCUUGCCAUUACAGUGAUUUAUUCAUUUGUUUGCUUUUUAAAAUAUUCACUGCUUACAAAAAUUCCAGUGUAUGCCACUGCAUGCAGAUGCAAUUUAAAUAUAUGAAAACCUAUUUAAUCUAUUCAUUUUAUGUUCAAAGCAAUUAAAAAAAAGAAUAAGAUAGUACUCUUGUAUGCUUACUUUGCUGACAAGGCGACCACCAAAGGCCUGCUUCACAAUGUUGUCACUUUCUGAUGGUGCCCUGUCUUUUGGCCCUGAAUCAUUACAGCAGCUUUCAAGUCUAUCCAGAAAACAUUGGAGGAAUUCAUGAGCGUCUUCUUGUUGGAACCUAUGAAAACUGGAUGAAAAAUCUGAUAUUUUCACAAAGUUAAGGACUACAAAGAAAUACUAGGUACAACAUUGGCUCAAAGGCAUGAAGCACACAAGCCGGCCUUUUCAAUUAUAGUAAAAACAGAAAAGAAAGAAACUUGAAUGUAUCAUAGUCUACAGUACUAUAACAAAAGUCAAGCCAAAUUUCUUAUAAUCUGGUAAAGAGCAUAGCUCUUGGAAGAAAUUGGAAGGCAUGCACAAGCACAAUGAAAUAACAUAACAAAAAACAUCAGAGUAGAAAACAUCUAAGCAGUGAAAUUGAUAUACUAUACAUAUGCAUUUGCUAGCACAGGUGGAGCUAGGAUUUCAACUUUAUAGGUUCUGGAAUUUAGAAUGACGACUUCAAGUAUUAAUAAUUGGUUCAAAAUUUAAUAAUUUUACAUAUGUAAUGAGUUUCUUAACGCAAAUACAUUGGUUGAGCAAAAGCUAUUACAUUCGGCCGAACCCGACCACGAACUUCUAGCUCCGACCCUGAGUGCUAGAAGGGAAUAUUUUAUUAACUCACAAACAAGACAAGAAAAAGGAUACGGUUCAAAUUGUUAACAAGUUUCCACGGCGAGACAACAUCACCCCCAGAAGCCAAUGAAAGGUCAACAAGCUCCCUAAUAGCGCAAAGUACGCAGAAUCCUCUAAGGUAACCUGCAACCAGUAUACAUAAACAAGCAAGGAUAAUCAGCAUUGAUAAUAAAUUCAAAGAAAAAGCCACUCCAAAAAGAAGAAAUUUUUUUAAUCAAAUACACUGAAAUAACUCAAAGCAACUUAAAACAAAGGCAAAUUCUGUGUUAAUCCUUACUAUCACAUGGUGAUACAUGAUCAUUCGACGUAAGGUGCUGAAGCAAAGGCACUGUGUGCAUGAAAGAUUGCAAAACCGCAUUUAGAAAGCAUGUGUUGCCUAAGUUAGCAAGUCCAGCACCCUAAUAACAGCCAAUAACAAAAGGAGAAGAAAAAAACAAGUGAGUUCAUAGGAGCAAAAAUGAGAUUUUAUUUGAACUAAUGGCAUACACAUGAUCCUGAAUAGACAUAAGUAUUUAGUAUUGGAAUAAAAAUAAGACUGGACUAAGUGGAAUGAUGAAAAGAAUUCAUACAGCCGAACCAACUAGUUUGAUAAUGUGUUAAUUGAUUGAAAUGUUUUAUACAUACAAGAACCACUAAUUUGCCUUAAAAGACAAACUAUUUAGUAUUGGAAUAAAAUAGGCAUGAACAAAACAAAAUAACUAUAAUGAGUUUUAUAUAAAUGUCAUACAAAUAUAGCAAUGCCUAAUUUAUCUUAAUAAAUACUCCCUCCGUUUCAAUCUAUUUCUUUUUUAGUCCAUGACACCUUUCUAGAUUCAAAAAUAAUUUAAUUUAGACUUCACAUUUUAUCCUUAAUGAGAAGCUUAUAUCUAUAUCAAUAUUAUCUUAUAUGUACAAAGUCUCUUAGCAAAAUAUCAUUCACUUUUUUAUCCUUUAAAAUGUAAGCCCUAAAUAUUAGAAAAAUAAUUAAAUUAUAAUUUUAUCCAAUAUAAAUUCUGUUUUUCUUUUCUUUAAAAAACAUUAUAUUGGAUAAAACUGUAAUUUAAUUAGUUUCCUGAUAUUCAAAAAAUUUAAAAUCACCUAAAAUUUUAGUUAUUAAAGUAUUUCUUAUUUGAACUAUGUAAAAAGUCCUAAUAUAGGACUAAAAUUGAUCAAGACUUUAUUAUCACCGUACAAUAAAAUCAAGAAAAAUUUAUGAUGUUAGUCAAGUAUGGCAUAUUUUGCUAAGAGAUUCUUCCGUAGAAUUGGGUAAAAUAGAAGCGACAAACUUAAUUUUAUCUAUAAUUUGUUCUAUCAUUAGUUUCGACGUUUAAAUAUCUUUUUGAAUCACAUUUGUUUAAUCAGAUUAUGAGGAAUGUAUUGCGGCACUUGCGAGGAAUGUAUUGUGGCACUUAUGUGUUUAACUCCUUCUAUUUUACCUUUGGCCUAUAUACAACAACAUACCCAGUAUAACCUUUGGCCUAUAUAUAUGAACUAUAUCAUAUUUUUAUAUUAAAUUAGAAUUACUUUCCUAUUAAAAUAUUUUUUAUUUCUCAAUUGUUGGAUAAUAAUUUAAAUCUAAAUCCAAUAAUUAGAACAAAUGACAAAACUAUAUUUAUGGAGAAAUGAGAAUAGAAAACUCAACCACUUAGCAAAACUAAACUGGAUUAUCGUUCAAAUGUCAUGUAUUUUAUUUGCGUUGUAUUUUCACAGGAAAAUACAGGAAUAUAUUAUUACAUGAAAAUUAAGAAUUUUUAAUGAUAUGACUUGUAUGUAUAAGUGUUUAAAGUAUUUUUAGAUUAUAAAUAACUUGAGUGUCGCGAGUUAUGUUUACAUACUAAUCAAGAGCUGAACAAAGCUGAAUAUUCAAAUGUGAUAAACGAUAAGAAUAACCGAGUCAUUUUCUUAUUUUCAUAAUAUUUUAUGAUUUUUUAAUCAACAAAAUUUUGUGUUCCUUAUUAAAUCAUUUCCUUUAAUGUUAGGUGAUUUAUAAUGCUUAUUAAUUAUGAGUACGAGCAAUUGGUUGAAAUUAGUGAUAAAUAUCGCAUUCACAGUAAGAUUUUUUUCGUUACAAAGUCAUUCAAAUGAUAAAAGAGAAUAUAUCAACAACAUUAUUCGAAAAUAAAGUGAGAUAACAUCAAAUCAGUUGGACUCGAGUAGUGUUUCACUAAAAUGUUACUAACGAAUAAAUCUAAUUACUUAACUAUACUUCUAUUUUAUAAAUCAACAAAAAACUUAAAAUGUUUAUGUUGAAAAAUAUAUAGUUUAAACACUAUUGUAAUGAUUAUAUGAAUACACUUCAAAUCUACAUGAAACAUUUUUAUACCUUUGGAGAGUUAUAUCACAUUGUACACUUCGCGUUGGAUAAACAAUAAUAAGCAUUAAUUUAUCCCUUACCCUUCCUAACGAUCAUUUUAUUUUUUCUAGAAACAAAUAGUUGGGCUUAAAUAAUACCCAGCCAAUAAAUUCUCCGUAUUCUAACUAAAAGUAACAACUUGGGUCUACUAAUGUUUUUUGUAUAUUUUUAUUUGAGUUCCAAUAUGAAUAAGAUGAAAUUCAUAUUAGGUACUUGAUAAAAUAGAAUUUAUUUUUUAAGAUCAUGAAGAACAUUGUAUUGUUGCAUGAUAAUAGGUAUAAGUCAACAUAUUAUUCUACGUUGUCUGAGCUACUAAAACAAAUGCACAACUCAUAUAUUGAAGUUAUAAUAAUGCAUUAAAUACUUUUGUGUGACAUAGCUUUUUACUUUCUUAAGUUGGCUAAAUAUGAUCAAUAUUAAUUAUUUUCAAGGGCUUGUGCAUUUUUAAAAUCUAGUAUUUAUAACUAAAUUACAUAGUUUAAUAAUAUUUGUGAUUUGAUUUUAUACUCAUUGAGAAUAAGUGCACGCAGAGCGCGCACAUCCUAAAACUACGUCAUUGAUACGUUAUAAUCUCAUCAUAGGAUUUGCAUAUAACUAAAUACUAAAAAGUUUACAACUUUUAAACUAAUGAUUAAGUAGUUUUAUGGGGUGAGUUCUUCAUUACUAAGUUUAGGAUCAAUAUUCAUCAUUUUAUAAACUUACAUGUUUAUUAUAUAACUUAACUUAAAUUAAUAGAAUAUUUAAGCGAUUUUUUUAAAAAAAUUACUCAAUGAGAUAUGGAUACACGCGCAACGCGCAUACACCAAGAUUAGUAACCACAUAAAUGUUAUGGCAUGUUUCAAGAGCCCUUUCUUUCUUAAUCUAUGUACUAAAUCAAAUAAAUUUACAUAAAUUAAAAAAAAAAUAAGUAUUAUAACUAUAGAAGAAUUAACUUAAAUAAUAUGUGUUUGUGUGUGUAAACUGACCAAUUGACAAAGUUCUUACCAGCUUAGAAGGCUGAUUCUCAAAGGGUAAAUCAGAGAUUUCAGGCUUAGUUUCCUCAUCUCUUUGAAAAUUCCACUCGGGCCCAAUUGAGUCCAAUGGCUUUAUUUCUGAAGGGCAUUCAGCCCAAUUAGAAGACGAAGGCCCAUAAUCAGCAGCAUCAACAGACCAUUGUGAGUCCAAUGGGCUUGAAUCAGUAACUUUGGCCCAAGAAUCAGCCCAAUUAGAAUCCAAAUCCAAAUUCUCUUCCUUCACAUUCUCAACUCUUCUGGAAUCUUCUUCUGCCAAAACGUCACCAUCUUUUUCCAUUUCAUCACUUUGCUGAGCUUGAUUCGGCGAAUUUGGGGACGACCCAUCUAGGGUUUUUUGAAACUCAACUGAAUUAACAGGUAAAGGUUGAGUUUUUAGGUUCUCCACGAGAUGGGUUUCCAUUGAAAUGUCAAACCAACAGAUAAAAAGAUAGGAUUUUCUUGAAAUUUUGGGGUUAAAAACUAGGGUUUUUGAAGGGUAUGAUUGGGGAUGACCCAGUUAAGAUUUGGUGAAAAUCAACUAAAUUUAAUGGUAGAGAAUGAAUCUUUAGGCUUUUUUACGAAAUGGGUGUCCUUUGAAAUGUUGAAAAAACGGAGAGAAAAGGGUUUUUUGGGGGAAAAGUAAUCAAAAAUUGGGUUUUGAAGGUAGGUUUUUUUGAAGAUUUGAGAUGCGAUUUGAACUUAGAUUGUUGUAAUCUAUGAAAGGGAAAGACAAAUUUGGUAGUUAUGGAUUUGAAGAAUGGAGGGAAAUUGAAGUGGAUUUGAUAAUUGGAGGGUUUUGAAAAGGGAGGGAAAGUAGAACCGACAUUUCUAUCAAUUGGAGGGACCUUUUAUGUAGCCAAUGAGAGAGACAGUGGGGAGUAAACUUGCCUAAUGUCAUUUUGUUUUUUCAUAUUGUGAAUAUAAAACAGUAUUAUAUUGCUCCAAAUGGUAAAGUUAUUCUUCCUCCGUUCUAACUUUUGUCUAAUAUUUUUUAUUUUAAUAAAUCUUAAAAUAUUUGAUAUCGAAUAAAGUGGGACAAAGAAAGAGAAGUACUGUAUUUUUUAUUUUAUUUUUGUCUUCAAAUGUUUCACAAAGAUAGAUUGCAUACACAUCAGCCUCCGCAGACUCCACUUGUGAGAUUACUGAGUUUCUUAUUAUUGUUUAAAUGUUUCACAAAGAUAAAAUUAGCUUAAAGGAACAUCUUCUUUUUUUUUGUAAAAUUAAAAUAUCUGAAUUUGAAUACAUAUAUUAAAAUGUAGUACUUAUAAAAUAACACUAGGUUGCAAACUGAGGCGGAUCCAGGAUUUGAACUUUAUGAGUUCAGAUUCGCAAUUCUAUCACAUUUCAUCUAAUUUAGUGGGUUCAAAAUUUAUUAUUUAUACAUAUAUAAUGAUUUUUUGAGACAAAUGAACUCAUAGCUUCUACACCGAAUACGCCUCUAAUUGUAAAGUGGUAGCUUUUGGUAGUCGUAGCUGAUGGUAAAUGUAUGUAGGUGUGGUGGUAGUAGCUGGCGGCCGUGGUAGUUGACUGACAAUUAUGCAGUGGUAGCAAUUGUAAUAACGAAUUGGGAUGACGGUACUAGUUGGGAAUGAUAGUAGUGGCUGCCAAUGGUGGUAGCAAUAUGCACAAUCGACUAAAUAUGCCAGGUCGAUAAAGAGAAUAAAAUCAUACCCUAUAAUUAAUUGAACACAUUGAGAAAUAGUUUUCACUAGUUUACAAUUCGCUGAUUUCACAACUCGGACGCAGUCUAGUACACAGUAAAAUGUUUAACAAAGCUCUACGAACCUCGUCAAGAACUAAAUAAAGAAAAAGAAAAACAUACAUAAGGAAAUUUUUAAUAAGACAAGACCAGCUUCCUCAAAAACCUAUGAGGUCUACUCUUAUUUUCACUUUCUGAAAAAAUUUCAUACAAAUCCCGUAACCUCCCUCUUCACGACUUUAAACCCAAGGUGACUUCCUCACAGG
rnacentral:lncRNA from 1 species